GAUGAAGAACGUAGCGAAACGCGAUAGGUAAUGUGAAUUGCAGAAUUCAGUGAAUCAUCGAAUCUUUGAACGCAUAUUGCGCUCUCUGGUAUUCCGGAGAGCAUGCUUGUUUGAGUAUCAGUAAACACCUCAACUUCCAUAUCUUUUUUGAAAUGGGAGUUGGACUUGAGUGAUCCCAACGCUUUUCCUCACCGAAAAGUGGCGGGUUACUUGAAAUGCAGGUGCAGCUGGACUUUUCUCUAAGCUAUAAGCAUAUCUAUUUAGUCUGCCUAAAAAACAGAUUAUUACCUUUGCUGCAGCUAACAUAAAGGAGAUUAGUUCUUGUGCUGACUGAUGCAGGAUUCACAAAGACAGGCUUCGGCCGACUUUGUAAACUCGAUCUCAAAUCAAGUAAGACUACCCGCUGAACUUAAGCAUAUCAAUAAGCGGAGGA
rnacentral:misc_RNA from 1 species